GGCGAGUUACGAUUUGAUGCAAGGUUAAGCAGUAAAUGUGGAGCCGUAGCGAAAGCGAGUCUGAAUAGGGCGUUUAGUAUUUGGUCGUAGACCCGAAACCAGGUGAUCUACCCUUGGUCAGGUUGAAGUUCAGGUAACACUGAAUGGAGGACCGAACCGACUUACGUUGAAAAGUGAGCGGAUGAACUGAGGGUAGCGGAGAAAUUCCAAUCGAACCUGGAGAUAGCUGGUUCUCUCCGAAAUAGCUUUAGGGCUAGCCUCAAGUGAUGAUUAUUGGAGGUAGAGCACUGUUUGGACGAGGGGCCCCUCUCGGGUUACCGAAUUCAGACAAACUCCGAAUGCCAAUUAAUUUAACUUGGGAGUCAGAACAUGGGUGAUAAGGUCCGUGUUCGAAAGGGAAACAGCCCAGACCACCAGCUAAGGUCCCAAAAUAUAUGUUAAGUGGAAAAGGAUGUGGCGUUGCCCAGACAACUAGGAUGUUGGCUUAGAAGCAGCCAUCAUUUAAAGAGUGCGUAAUAGCUCACUAGUCGAGUGACACUGCGCCGAAAAUGUACCGGGGCUAAACAUAUUACCGAAGCUGUGGAUUGUCCUUUGGACAAUGGUAGGAGAGCGUUCUAAGGGCGUUGAAGCAUGAUCGUAAGGACAUGUGGAGCGCUUAGAAGUGAGAAUGCCGGUGUGAGUAGCGAAAGACGGGUGAGAAUCCCGUCCACCGAUUGACUAAGGUUUCCAGAGGAAGGCUCGUCCGCUCUGGGUUAGUCGGGUCCUAAGCUGAGGCCGACAGGCGUAGGCGAUGGAUAACAGGUUGAUAUUCCUGUACCACCUAUA
rnacentral:rRNA from 1 species